GACGAACGCGGGCGGUGCGCCUUAUGCAUGCAAGUCGAGCGAAGCUUUUCAGUAGUUUACUACAGAAAAUGACUGAGCGGCGAACGGGUGAGUAACGCGUGAGCAAUCUACCUUAGUUACAGGGAUAGCCCGAGGAAACUCGGAUUAAUACCUGAUAUUCUUUAAAUUUCGCAUGAAAUCAAAAGGAAAGGUCAGCCGAACUAAGAUGAGCUCGCGUUCUAUCAGCUAGUUGGUGAGGUAAAAGCUCACCAAGGCAACGACGGAUAGCUGGUCUGAGAGGACGAUCAGCCACACUGGGACUGAGACACGGCCCAGACUCCUACGGGAGGCUGCAGCAGGGAAUAUUGCGCAAUGAGCGAAAGCUUGACGCAGCGACACCGCGUGUGGGAUGACGGAUCUAGGUUUGUAAACCACUUUCAGGAGGGAAGAAAAUGACGGUACCUCCACAAGAAGCCCCGGCCAACUACGUG
rnacentral:rRNA from 1 species